AACGACGGUGUUACGGUUAUCGAUGACGGAGACGGAGGUGGAUUGUUCGGAGAAGGAGGUGAGUGGUGGUGUUUCACGGUGGUGAGUUGAGGGAGAAGAUGGAGUAGUGAGCACCGUUGGUUGGUGGUGAGAGGCGGAUUCACGGCGGUGGCUAGGAGAAGGUUAGGAGGCGAUCGCGGAUGUAAUUGGAGGUUAUCGACGGCGGUCGUAGAUGUUAUUGUUGUGGGUUGUUUGUUAUUGUGAAGAAGAAGAAGGUUUUGUGGUGUGGGGAGUGAGGGAAAUUUUGAGGGAGGUUCAAGGAGGUUAUGGAGUUUUUACGGUGGUGGUGAAGAUGAACAGAGAGGAUUAGCGGAGGCGAAAGAAGUGGUGUAGUGAUGAAUUUCACAAUUGGAUGGGGAAAUGAAGAAAUUUUUUCCCUUUUUCCAGAAGAAGAGUCUUUACCCUUUUUAUUAUUUUCCCCCUUUCUGGCCAAUAGCCAAGAGAGAGAUGGUACUCCACCGAGUCUCCUCUCUGUUUUCUUUCUUUUUCUUUCGUUUUUUCUUUUUAAGAGAGAGAGAUAUGCUGAGUCGUGGGAGAGAGACGUGAGGUGUGCGUUUUUUUCAAUUUUCUUUUUCUUUUUCUGUUGGAUCAGAGAGAGAGGGAGUAGGUUAGUUGAGUGAAUUCAGUGGGUGAGUCGUGUUGAAUGUGAAGAGAGUGAAGGAAGAUUUCUUUUCCAAUUUUGUUUUUUUUUAAUUACCAACUGUUGGAGCCAGCUGUAGUACUGCUAGCUGUCCACUAGCAGAGCAAGGAAUCCAAUGUUGUCAAUAUUUGCUUUGAAAAUAAUUAUUAUUUAUUUCUAAUCAACAUUUUAUAUUUAAACAAAUAGAUAAAUUUUAAUUUCUU
rnacentral:lncRNA from 1 species